rnacentral:rRNA from 1 species
UGCAGUCGAGGGGUAGUAGGAGCUUGCUUCUAUGACACCGGCGCACGGGUGCGUAACGCGUAUGCUAUCUGCCUCUCACUGGGGAAUAGCCCGGAGAAAUCCAGAUUACUGCCCCAUGGUAUUUUACGGUGGCAUCACCUUAUUAUUAAAGAUUUAUCGGUGAAAGAUGAUCCUGCCUCCCAUUAUAUUAGUUGGUGUGGCAACUGCCCACCGAGUACGAUGAUGGGGAGGGCUGAUGAGAAGAUCAUCCCCCCUGGUGCUGAUACAACGACCACACUACUCCUGCAGGAAGCAGUGAUGAAUAUUGUAGGAUGGUGGCAAGCCUGAUCCACCCAUGCCGCGUGCAGGAUGACGACCCUACGGAUUGUUGACUGCUUUUAUUCUACAAGAAACACUCCUUCUUGAAGGAGCUUGAUGGUAUCAUAAGAAUAAUGAUGAUCUAGUUCCUCGCCGCCAGCCGCGG